GUGUCAGCCGCCGCGGUAACACGUACUGUGCGAACGUUAUUCGGAAUCACUGGGCUUAAAGGGUGCGUAGGCGGCGAUUCAAGUCAGAUGUGAAAUGCCUGAGCUCAACUGAGGCAUUGCGUUUGAAACUGAUUUGCUAGAGUGUCCUAGGGGUGUGCGGAACUGCCAGUGGAACGGUGAAAUGUGUUGAUAUUGGCAGGAACACCGGAGGCGAAGGCGGCACACUGGGGGAUAACUGACGCUGAGGCACGAAAGCCAAGGGAGCGAACGGGAUUAGAUACCCCGGUAGUCUUGGCCGUAAACGAUGAGUACUGGGCGGGAGGGGGUUUCCCCUUUCUGCCGUAGCGAAAGCGUUAAGUACUCCGCCUGGGGAGUAUGGUCGCAAGGCUGAAACUUAAAGGAAUUGACGGGG
rnacentral:rRNA from 1 species